rnacentral:rRNA from 1 species
CCUACGGGUGGCAGCAGUGAGGAAUAUUGGUCAAUGGACGCAAGUCUGAACCAGCCAAGCCGCGUGCGGGAAGACGGCUCUAUGGAUUGUAAACUUCAUUUGUCCGAGAGUAAACGCAGAUACGCGUGUCUUUCUGAGAGUAUCGUACGAAUAAGCAUCGGCUAACUCCGUGCCAGCAGCCGCGGUAAUACGGAGGAUUCAAGCGUUAUCCGGAUUUAUUGGGUUUAAAGGGUGCGUAGGCGGUAGGAUAAGUUAGAGGUAAAAUCCAGAGGCUCAACUUCGGAAUUGCCGCUGAUACUGGUCGUCUAGAGAGUAGUUGAGGUAGGCGGAAUGCAUGGUGUAGCGGUGAAAUGCGUAGAGAUCACACAGAACACCGAUUGCGAAGGCAGCUUACCAAGCUACUUCUGACGUUGAGGCACGAAAGCGUGGGGAGCAAACAGGAUUAGAUACCCUAGUAGUC